AACGAACGCUGGCGGCAGGCUUAACACAUGCAAGUCGAGCGCCCCGCAAGGGGAGCGGCAGACGGGUGAGUACCGCGUGGGAACGUACCUUUUGGUUCGGAACAACUCCGGGAAACUGGAGCUAAUACCGGAUAAGCCCUAACGGGGAAAGAUUUAUCGCCGAAAGAUCGGCCCGCGUCUGAUUAGCUAGUUGGUGAGGUAACGGCUCACCAAGGCGACGAUCAGUAGCUGGUCUGAGAGGAUGAUCAGCCACACUGGGACUGAGACACGGCCCAGACUCCUACGGGAGGCAGCAGUGGGGAAUAGUGGACAAUGGGCGCAAGCCUGAUCCAGCCAUGCCGCGUGAGUGAUGAAGGCCUUAGGGUUGUAAAGCUCUUUUGUCCGGGAAGAUAAUGACGGUACCGGAAGAAUAAGCCCCGGCUAACUUCGUG
rnacentral:rRNA from 1 species